AUUGAACGCUGGCGGCAGGCCUAACACAUGCAAGUCGAGCGCGCGGCGGACGGGUGCGUAAUGUAUUGGGACCUGCCCGCUAGAGGGGGAUAACUACUGUAAACGGUAGCUAAUACCCCAUACCAUCGGAUGUGCCCAGAUGGGAUUUGCUAGUAGGUGGUGUAAAGGCUGACCUAGGUGACGAUCCCUAGCUGGUCUGUGAGGAUGACCAGCCACACGGGAACUGAGAAACGGUCCAGACUCCUACGGGAGGCAGCAGUGGGGAAUAGUGCAAAAUGAGCGCAAGCCUGAUGCAGCCAUUCCGCGUGUAUGAAGAAGGCCUUCGGGUUGUAAAGUACUUGCAGCGGGGAGGCGUUACCCGCAGAAGAAGCACCGGCUAACUCCGUGCCAGCAGCCGCGGUAAUUC
rnacentral:rRNA from 1 species